UCAGGACUACCUGACAUGAUGACUCCUUGCUGUCCCCAGUCCACCUGGCCGUGCUGCUGCUCCAGUUUCAACUGUUCUGCCUUAUUAUUAUUGGACCAUGCUGGUCAUUUAUGAACAUUUGAACAUCUUGGCCAUGUUCUGUUAUAAUCUCCACCCGGCACAGCCAGAAGAAGACUGGCCACCCCACAUAGCCUGGUUCCUCUCUAGGUUUCUUCCUAGGUUUUGGCCUUUCUAGGGAGUUUUUCCUAGCCACCGUGCUUCUACACCUGCAUUGCUUGCUGUUUGGGGUUUUAGGCUGGGUUUCUGUACAGCACUUUGAGAUAUCAGCUGAUGUACGAAGGGCUAUAUAAAUAAAUUUGAUUUGAUUUGAUAGACCUGUUUUUACCCACCAAUCAACACACAAAGAAAUAAACAAAACAUUAUAAUUUAAUAGAGAUAUUGGUGAUUUUAUAAACUAAAUCUGAUCAAAAUUAUAUUUUGUCAAUGAAAUGAAUGAAUGUAUUGUGUACUAAUCAAAUAUAUUAAACAUGUCGUUAAAUUUGUAGUGUAGACCUUUUCACUGUGCAAAUAUUAUAUGUUAAUUAUGUUCUGACCCACCGACUUUAACUCAGAAAACAAUUGUCCCGAAGCCAAACCUAGUUGACGAACCCUGUUUUAUAGUAUUCCAUGGCCUUUACUGGCCAACUGCUGUUAUGGUUAUGAUAUAAUAUGGUGUUGUGUCACUAGACUUUGACCAGAUAUUAUUACAUCCAAAGAUCAACUGAACCUAGAACAUAGAUACAGAGACACUUGUCAUCAGGAAGGAUCUCUCUCAGCACAACGGAAAAUAUCUCAAUGACUUGACAUGUUCUGCUUGUGAAUUCAGGCUACAAGGGGUCAGUUCUCUAAAAUGAGUCUCUCAGGAGCGAGAAAGAAGGGGGGGCCUGCCUCUAAAAUGAGUCUCUCUGGAGCAAGAGAGGAGGGGGGGCCUGCCUCUAAAAUGAGACUCUCUGGGGAACAUGACACCAAAGUUAAGAGACCAAUCAAGCAGGAGAGACCAGCCUCCCCUGUUCCCAGCUGUGUGUCCAUGAAGAGUGACCGGUCUAUGGAAC